UCAAGAGACAAACACAUGAAUAAGCAAGAUCGUUCCUGAGAGUGGUUAAGGGUUUUGAAGAAAACAAAAGAGGGAGAUGUGGUAAAGAAUGGAAUGGCUGGGAUGAGGGCGUCCCCCUGCAGAGAAAGUGAUCCAGGGAGGCCUCUCUGAGGAGGUGACCUUCAGCUGAGAUCACAAGAUGAGAAGGAGCCAGCUUUACAGUUCUCAGGAGAAGGAGUAGCCAGUGCAAAGCUCCUGAGGUGGAGAGACUUGGAGCUGUUCAAAGCACAGCAAGAGGACUAGACGGAGCUGGAGCACAGGAUGAACAGGAAAGUGAUAAAGACGAGGCUGGAGAAGCGGAGUCCAGAUCACGGAGGACCCAGAGUUCCAGGCCUUGUGGUUUUGUUUCUGGAGAAUGGGGCCAUUGGGUGGAGUUGAUGACAAGGAAUCCCAAGGAGUAAAGUAGGAGGCCUGUGGGAAAGGAGAUGAAAACCAGCCAAGUGUCCAAGUCCUGUUGCAAAAAGAGAAAAAAGAAGAAGAAAAAGAAGAAGAAGGAAGAGGAGGAGGAGGAGGAGGAGGAAACACCAGUACCAGCAGAUUGUGCUCUGGGUGUAAGUCUAAGAACCUGUGCUCAGCCCUACUGUCCAUAGUUUGUCUGCUGUGGUCGUCUCGGGAAGUGGAAGUGUAAACUGACUACAGAAACGUAGGCCAGAACUGAGGGCCCACGUGAGAUUCGGGGGCAGGAGGCAAAGCGAUGGGAGAGGGAAGAGGCUUCAAGUUCCUUUCUACUCCCUGGAAGGGACUCUGUGGGGUACAAACUCCUUCCCCUUCUAGCUUGAGUGACAUGGACACAGAAGACAGUCACCUUGGCCUUAGGACCACAGGCCUAGGCUUCUCCCUUCCUCAAGAAUACUCACAGACCCUGAAAAAAAUAGCCUUUUUAUUCCCCCAGAUCUUUACCCAUACCAGUGUGCUUUCACAGCAUCCGGGACUGACUUCUCACAACAAUUCUGUAAGGAAGCUAUUACUAUCCCCUUUUACAGAAGAUACAACUGAGGACCAGAGAAGGGCUGGAACUAAAUACAAAUCUCCUGACAUCCAGAGUGAUGAUGAUUCUUCUCCACCAGCUGACGCUGAAUUUCCACCGCCAAUUAUUGCUUGAGGUCAAUGAUUCUCAAAGGAUGGUCUAAGGAACGCCCAGAUGUCCCCCAGACCUUUUCAACAGGGCUUCAAGGUCAAAGCUAUUUCCUUAAUAAUACUAAGACCUUAUUUGCCUUUUC